rnacentral:tRNA from 1 species
AGGAUGAUAGUUAAUUAUAACAUUUGAAUUGCACUCAAAAAGUAUUGAAUUUUCAAUCUAUCUUG